rnacentral:rRNA from 1 species
GACGAACGCUGGCGGCGUGCUUAACACAUGCAAGUCGAACGGAAAGGCCCUGCUUUUGUGGGGUGCUCGAGUGGCGAACGGGUGAGUAACACGUGAGUAACCUGCCCUUGACUUUGGGAUAACUUCAGGAAACUGGGGCUAAUACCGGAUAGGAGCUCCUGCUGCAUGGUGGGGGUUGGAAAGUUUCGGCGGUUGGGGAUGGACUCGCGGCUUAUCAGCUUGUUGGUGGGGUAGUGGCUUACCAAGGCUUUGACGGGUAGCCGGCCUGAGAGGGUGACCGGCCACCUUGGGACUGCGAUACGGCCCAGACUCCUACGGGAGGCAGCAGUGGGGAAUCUUGCACAAUGGGCGGAAGCCUGAUGCAGCAACGCCGCGUGCGGGAUGACGGCCUUCGGGUUGUAAACCGCUUUCGCCUGUGACGAAGCGUGAGUGACGGUAAUGGGUAAAGAAGCACCGGCUAACUACGUG